rnacentral:lncRNA from 1 species
AUCCACCGCUGAGCUGGGAGAAAGAUGGCGGCAGCCGUGCGACAGGAUUUGGCCCAGCUCAUGAAUUCGAGCGGCUCUCAUAAAGAUCUGGCUGGCAAAACAUUAUUUUCAUUUGGUAUUGUUGUAGGUAUCGUCAGAUCCUGGAAAAAGCCAUUCAGUUAUCUGGAGCAGAACAACUAGAAGCUUUGAAAGCUUUUGUGGAAGCAAUGGUAAAUGAGAAUGUCAGUCUCGUGAUCUCGCGGCAGUUGCUGACUGAUUUUUGCACACAUCUUCCUAACUUGCCUGAUAGCACAGCCAAAGAAAUCUAUCACUUCACCUUGGAAAAGAUCCAGCCUAGAGUCAUUUCAUUUGAGGAGCAGGUUGCUUCCAUAAGACAGCAUCUUGCAUCUAUAUAUGAGAAAGAAGAAGAUUGGAGAAAUGCAGCCCAAGUGUUGGUGG